GACGAACCGUGCAAACGUUAUUCGGAAUCACUGGGCUUAAAGCGUGCGUAGGCGGCUAAGAAAGUUGGGUGUGAAAUCCCUCGGCUCAACCGAGGAAUUGCGCUCAAAACUACUUAGCUUGGGGGAGUUAGAGGUGAGCGGAACUAAUGGUGGAGCGGUGAAAUGCGUUGAUAUCAUUAGGAACACCGGUGGCGAAAGCGGCUCACUGGGACUCUUCUGACGCUGAGGCACGAAAGCUAGGGUAGCGAACGGG
rnacentral:rRNA from 1 species